rnacentral:rRNA from 1 species
CGGGACGGGUGAGUAACGCGUGGAUAACCCGCCUCACACUGGGGGAUAACAGUUAGAAAUGACUGCUAAUACCGCAUAAGCGCACAGUAUCGCAUGAUACAGUGUGAAAAACUCCGGUGGUACAAGAUGGACCCGCGUCUGAUUAGCUAGUUGGUAAGGUAACGGCUUACCAAGGCGACGAUCAGUAGCCGACCUGAGAGGGUGACCGGCCACAUUGGGACUGAGACACGGCCCAA